AUGCAGGGAUCCGUUUCGAGAAUGGGGCCAUGCGGCGGCGGCGGCGGCCACGACAGGGACAUGGACAUGCGCGGCGUGAACCGUGUGGUCAAGCUGGUCGUCCGCCACGGCGACACCGUCGACGCCAUCUCCGUCCUGUACGAGCGGAACGGCCGGGAGGAGUGGACCGACCUGUGGGGAGGACAAGGGGGGACGCUCUCCGAGAUCUGCCUGCGGCCGGACGAGCACUUCACCGGCGUCGUGGGCCACUACGGCGAGUUUGAUGGCAGCUUCGCCGUGAGGUCGCUCACUUUCGUCAGCAACGCCCGCAGCUUCGGGCCGUACGGGCAGGAGGAUGGCGUGCCGUUCGCGCUUCCUGCGGCCGGCGGCAAGAUCCUCGGCUUCCACGCGCGCUCCGGCCGCCGCCUGGACGCGCUCGGCACCUACGUCAAGAUGGCAGAUCUGUCCACGCAGGCCCCACGGAACUGA
rnacentral:rRNA from 1 species